UACGUAGGGGGGCAAGCGUUGUCCGGAUUUUAUUGGGGCGUAAAGAGCGUGUAGGCGGCUAGGUAGGUCCGUUGUGAAAACUCGAGGCUCAACCUCGAGACGUCGAUGGAAACCAUCUAGCUAGAGUCCGGAAGAGGAGAGUGGAAGUUCCCGGUGUAGCGGUGAAAUGCGCAGAUAUCGGGAAGAACACCCGUGGCUAAGGCGGCUCUCUAGUACGGUACU
rnacentral:rRNA from 1 species